rnacentral:rRNA from 1 species
UACGUAGGGGCCAAGCGUUGUCCGGAUUUAUUGGGCGUAAAGAGCUCGUAGGCGGUUGGGUAAGUCGGGUGUGAAAACUCCAGGCUCAACUUGGAGAGGCCACCCGAUACUGCUCUGACUUGAGUUCGGUAGGGGAGUGGGGAAUUCCUGGUGUAGCGGUGAAAUGCGCAGAUAUCAGGAGGAACACCGGUGGCGAAGGCGGGAUCCUGGGCCAGUACUGACGCUGAUGAGCGAAAGCGUGGGGAGCGAACAGG